CGAACGGUAACAGGAAACAGCUUGCUGUUUCGCUGACGAGUGGCGGACGGGUGAGUAAUGUCUGGGAAACUGCCUGAUGGAGGGGGAUAACUACUGGAAACGGUAGCUAAUACCGCAUAACGUCGCAAGACCAAAGAGGGGGACCUUCGGGCCUCUUGCCAUCGGAUGUGCCCAGAUGGGAUUAGCUAGUAGGUGGGGUAACGGCUCACCUAGGCGACGAUCCCUAGCUGGUCUGAGAGGAUGACCAGCCACACUGGAACUGAGACACGGUCCAGACUCCUACGGGAGGCAGCAGUGGGGAAUAUUGCACAAUGGGCGCAAGCCUGAUGCAGCCAUGCCGCGUGUAUGAAGAAGGCCUUCGGGUUGUAAAGUACUUUCAGCGGGGAGGAAGGGAGUAAAGUUAAUACCUUUGCUCAUUGACGUUACCCGCAGAAGAAGCACCGGCUAACUCCGUGCCAGCAGCCGCGGUAAUACGGAGGGUGCAAGCGUUAAUCGGAAUUACUGGGCGUAAAGCGCACGCAGGCGGUUUGUUAAGUCAGAUGUGAAAUCCCCGGGCUCAACCUGGGAACUGCAUCUGAUACUGGCAAGCUUGAGUCUCGUAGAGGGGGGUAGAAUUCCAGGUGUAGCGGUGAAAUGCGUAGAGAUCUGGAGGAAUACCGGUGGCGAAGGCGGCCCCCUGGACGAAGACUGACGCUCAUGUGCGAAAGCGUGGGGAGCAAACAGGAUUAUAUACCCUGGUAGUCCACGCCGUAAACGAUGUCGACUUGGAGGUUGUGCCCUUGAGGCGUGGCUUCCGGAGCUAACGCGUUAAGUCGACCGCCUGGGGAGUACGGCCGCA
rnacentral:rRNA from 1 species